rnacentral:lncRNA from 1 species
CACUAUUUGAGCUCUCGUGUUCUCCUGCCAUAAUGCCAUCCACACAACAAAGAGGGUCCUCUACCAGGGCCACAUCAAGGCGAUUGCCUGAUAUUGAAGUUUUAGCCUCCCACACUGUGAGCUAAAUAAUCCUCUUUUCUUAAAAAAAAAAAAAAAGUACCCAUUCUCUGAUGUUUGGUUAUGACAAAAAAAGAAAGAUUAACACAUCUGGUUGUGAUAACACACUAUAGUUUGGGGAUGUAUCACUAUGUGGGAAACUAUAAGAGACUAAUGGCAUCUCUCUGUGUUAUUUCUUACAACUGCAUGUGAACCUUCAAUUAUCUCAAAAAGAUUACUUAAAAAAUUUAAAUGAUGAAGGCAAAUGAGGGAACUGCGUGUAGUGCUUGUCAGUUACGUCAUCAUCUCUGUAUGUAUGAUGUCACAAUGGUGAGUGGCCUUAAGUACUGGAGAAUUCUCACAACUGAGGAAUUAGUGGACAGUGCUCUGCUAAGUGCUAUAGACAGGACCGGUUUCAAGUGCCAAGAAAUGAAGGAAAAAGGAUGCCCAUGUUCGUCACCGAACUCUUCAUUCAAGGCUUUACUACAUGAGAUCCUUACGUGCAUCCAUUGGAAGACCAAUGGGAAGAACCAGCUUGCGCAAGUAGAAUGGUGCUGUUUGAACUCCUCGUCCACGCAGAUAUCGAUGAGGUCCACUCCUUCUGACAUGGCUCAGGAAGGACGAUCUCGCACCCGGAGAAGGGACAAAGUAAGAGACGCACCACGAGAAUAUGGCGGUGGCGCCGAGUCCGGACUAGGCCCGCAAGUCCACCAAUAUUAAUGAGGUAUACCAAAUCCAGUACACUAAAUAUACUGCACAGCCUGUGGAUGGCUGACCCUGUGGACAAUGAGUAGGAAGGCCACACUCAUGCUGGGAAGUCCUUUCUCUUGGGCUGGCCCAUGGAGAACUUCGUGAUGACCUUCAGGUAAGCUCCACAGUUUGGUCAUAAAGGCUAGCUGUGGAAGGACAUAGUCAAUUUUAUAUUGUCUGGGAAAGAUAGGAAAAUGUAAUUAAAUUUUACCCGGAACUAUUUAUAAAAAGAAAAACAUUUAAAACUGUAUAUUAAGCCUCUAAUACACUUUCAGACCUCUCGUAAUGACAACUGUUUGGCUUGUACUUUCCUCAGAAGUUUUGUGUGCAAGUGUGUAAAAUGGAUCAACAGUGGGAACUACUGGUGAAAUUUUUUCAGGUUGUUGUCUUAGUUAUUUCCCUGGUUGCUGGGACAACCCACAACUUAAAAAAGGGGAGGUUUAUUUUGGUUCAUGUUUCAUCCAUAGUUGGCUGCCUCCAAGGUAGCCCAGCCUCCAGUGAUGGAGGGGAACUGCUCACGGCAUGGUGACAGGAAGCAUAUGGAGAGGGAAGGAGCUGUGGAGAGAGAUAAACCCUUCCAGGCCAGGUGCCCAGUGACCAUCUCCUCUAACCAGACCCCACCUUCCAACAGUAAGCCAGCUAUACUACUCUUAUCUCCAGUCACCUUUGAAACACAUAAGACUUUGGGGGCCAUUUUAGAUCUAAAACGUAACAGUUUUGAUCAGUGGAUUUUCAGCAGUGCUCCAGGAGCUACUUGGAGGUAUUGAGUGUGCUGGGCUGUGCAAAGAAGCUAAAGGAGUAAGACUCUAGCCACCCCUCAGCUUCCUCCCCCAUAAUGCCC